GUCCACGCCGUAAACGAUGGAUGCUAGAUGUUUCCGGUAUUGACCCCGGAGGUGUCGUAGCUAACGCGUUAAGCAUCCCGCCUGGGGGAGUACGGCCGCAAGGCUAAAACUCAAAGGAAUUGACGGGGCCCGCACAAGCGGUGGAGCAUGUGGUUUAAUUCGACGCAACGCGAAGAACCUUACCUGGGUUGGAACCCUCCAGAAGUUUGCAGAGAUGCAGAUGUGCCCGCAAGGGAAUUGGAUGUCCAGGUGCUGCAUGGCUGUCGU
rnacentral:rRNA from 1 species